rnacentral:rRNA from 1 species
UACGGGGGGGGCAAGCGUUGUUCGGAAUUACUGGGCGUAAAGGGCUCGUAGGCGGCCAACUAAGUCGGACGUGAAAUCCCCAGGCUCAACCUGGGAACUGCGUCCGAUACUGGAUGGCUUGAAUUCGGGAGAGGGAUGCAGAACUCCAGGUGUAGCGGUGAAAUGCGUAGAUAUCUGGAGGAAUACCGGUGGCGAAGGCGGCAUCCUGGACCGACAUUGACGCUGAGGAGCGAAAGCUAGGGGAGCAAACGGG